rnacentral:lncRNA from 1 species
AAUAAAAAAUAAAUAUAAUUACCUACAUACCCCUCAAAGUUUUAAAAAUAUCUAAUUUAUCUUUUUUUUUUUUGAUUUCUAAUUAUUUCUUAUAUAUUCUUUCGUUAUUCAAAAAUACUCCCGUAGUUACUACCGAUUAAGUUAUAUCGAAUUAAUUACAAAAUUAAAAUACCUUUUUUGUUCUUAAAAGGACAAAUAAGAAAAACUGAUGAUAGUAAAAAGGUAUAUUUGAAAAAGAUAAAAAGUUAAAAUACUUAUUUUGUUCCUAACUUAAAAUUUAGUGAUGGUAGAAGAGUAUAAUUUGGAAAGGGUUAAAUAGUAAUUUCGCGGAGAUAAUGAUUAUUGCUAACUGUUCACUAAUAGAAUUUAAAUCUAGGAAUAUAUUUAAAAUAACUUGAAACGUAUAAAGAGAAUUUUUAAUAUUAGCAUAUUAUGAGGGAUAAAUCAGAAAAUUAAAAACUUUUCAGGAGUAUAUAAGCAAUUGCCCUAAAAUAAGAAUAAUUGCAUCAUUUGUUCUUAAGCUGAUUUUCCUUUUUCUUUUUUUAUUUUUUUUCCAUCUAUUAGUGUCCUAACUUUUACAUUCCAUUUUGGGUUAAUUUCACUUGUACCCUCACAAAAUUAUGAAAUAGCAUAAAUACCCUUCAAAUUUUUAAAAUUUCACAAAUACCCUUAUAAAUAUACUAUUUCUUUCAUAAAUACCUUAAUUUUUUCGAACUUCCAUCAACUUAGCAUUUUUUUAUUUUACUUUGAAAUUACAAUUUUACCCUUAAUUUUCUCACUAUCUGGUUAAAGGGUUAAUUUCAUCCGUACCACUCUAAAUUUCAGAAAUAUCAUAAAUACCGUUAUAAAUUUUGUUAUAUUAUAAUUAUCCUUCUAAAUACAUACAUUUUUUUCCAAAAUACCCUCGCCGUUAUACUCCGUCUCUUCAAGUCAUAUGAACCUUAGUUAGAUGGCGAUCUAAUAUUGGUUAAAAUUUGAAAUGUUUAUUUUACCCAUGAGUUGAGAAAAUUUUAGACAGUAUAUUAAUUAUAUGAUUUACUAUUUAAUCCCUAACUUUUGUUCAUUAUUUGUUUAACAUCUAAACCAACAUUGUUCGCUGAUAUUUUUUAGUUCUAUUUAGCUCAUAAUUUU